CAGCAGCCGCGGGAAUACGGAGGGUGCAAGCGUUAAUCGGAAUUACUGGGCGUAAAGCGUGCGUAGGUGGUGGUUUAAGUCCGUUGUGAAAGCCCUGGGCUCAACCUGGGAAUUGCAGUGGAUACUGGGUCACUAGAGUGUGGUAGAGGAUAGUGGAAUUUCCGGUGUAGCAGUGAAAUGCGUAGAGAUCGGAAGGAACAUCUGUGGCGAAGGCGACUAUCUGGGCCAACACUGACACUGAGGCACGAAAGCGUGGGGAGCAAACAGGAUUAGAUACCCGAGUAGUCCCUGUCUCUUAUAC
rnacentral:rRNA from 1 species